GACGAACGCUGGCGGCGUGCCUAAUACAUGCAAGUAGAACGCUGAAGGAGGAGCUUGCUUCUCUGGAUGAGUUGCGAACGGGUGAGUAACGCGUAGGUAACCUGCCUGGUAGCGGGGGAUAACUAUUGGAAACGAUAGCUAAUACCGCAUAAGAGUAGAUGUUGCAUGACAUUUGCUUAAAAGGUGCAAUUGCAUCACUACCAGAUGGACCUGCGUUGUAUUAGCUAGUUGGUGAGGUAACGGCUCACCAAGGCGACGAUACAUAGCCGACCUGAGAGGGUGAUCGGCCACACUGGGACUGAGACACGGCCCAGACUCCUACGGGAGGCAGCAGUAGGGAAUC
rnacentral:rRNA from 1 species